CACGUAGGGCGCAAGCGUUGUCCGGAAUUAUUGGGCGUAAAGAGCUCGUAGGCGGUCUGUUACGUCUGCUGUGAAAACCCGGGGCUUAACCCUGGGCUUGCAGUGGAUACGGGCAGACUAGAGGCAGGUAGGGGAGAAUGGAAUUCCCGGUGUAGCGGUGAAAUGCGCAGAUAUCGGGAGGAACACCGGUGGCGAAGGCGGUUCUCUGGGCCUGACCUGACGCUGAGGCACGAAAGCCAGGGGAGCAAACGGG
rnacentral:rRNA from 1 species